UCCACGGGUGCACUCAUUCCACUGGUUGGAGU
rnacentral:piRNA from 1 species